rnacentral:lncRNA from 1 species
CAGGCUGAGGACAGAUGACUCAUGGAACACACUUAAAACUGAAGGCUGGGAAAAGUUAGAAGUGCAAUGGCCCUGAGCUGGCGGGACUGUGAGAACAGUGACUACUCACUAAUUCACAUGCGGCUGCCAGCUACCCAAGGACAGCAGUAGCUCUGGUAUCCAGGGAUGAUACACAGGUCAAGGGCUGCGAGAGCACUGGCUUUUCACUCUCCUGCGCCGCUACCUGAGUAAACUCCCCUAUCCUACCUUUUCUUGAGUGUGAGGUUGGCUCUGGACAUCGAAAAAUGGGAGAGAGCAAAGCCCCCAAACUCAGCCACACUGAGAGGAUGGGCAAAAGGAUCUGAGGAGACUGAGGUGGAAUCUACUCAUUUCUGCUUCAGAAAGGUAGAAAGAUCUCCAUUUUAAAGACCAAGGCAAAGCGGCUGAAGGUGAUCCACUCUGGGGGCAGUGAGAUUCUACCAAUUUCGGACUACUGAGCUGCAGCUGUCUGAGGAUCAACUGCAAAACUCAAAACAAAAACAAACAAAGAAAACCCUAAACCAAACAAAACAACAAAAGACAAACAAACAACAACAACCCACCAACUUCUCUCAGUUAUUUUCUCCAUUAAAGUAUUCAUGCCGGUAGGGCAGCAUGGGUGAACAAGGAUGAUUGGAGGGGACUGAAGUCCAUUACUGCAAAGCUGCAAAGAACACUGCAAAGCUGCAAAGAACAGGUGUGGCAUGCAAACCGGUAACUGUGGAGGUAGAGGCACGAGGGUCAGAAAUUCAAGGUCAGGGCUGGGCAGGUGGCUCAGCGGUUGAAAGCACUUGCUGUAACACAAGUAAUCACAGAGGAUCAGGGUUCAGUUUCCAGUACUUGUGCCAGGCAGCUCACAAGCAGGAGAUCGGAUGCU